rnacentral:rRNA from 1 species
AUGAAGCAGAAGAGUAUAAAAAAAUGGGAUCGAGAGCAUGACAUGUAUAUCCAGGAGUUCAAGCACAAGUUCAAUAAGAUUGAGCUUUCAUUGCAUCAACCGACUUCUAAGCCUCCCCCACGGCCUUUUGAUACGGAAGCAUUCAACAAUUAUCUUGUGUGGUUUCGUUCCGUUGCCCGUACUCAACUUAACGCGCCCGCAUUUCAGCCAGGGGACGUAUUACAUGAACCCAAUCCAGGUUUUGAUCGGAUGGCCAAUAUGGAGUACAACACGCUUAUUAGAGAUGGUAGAAGGUAUGAAUUGGCGCCAACUAUCCGCUUUGUGGUAAGUUACCGUUAUAUCUAUAUGCUUGCCUACAUUGUGCCAAAGGACCCGGUGAUCGAGGCCGCCUCAGAGGAGGAGGAAGAGGAGGUGGAGGUGCCGCUACAGAGGAGAAGGCGCUUAGUGAAGGGGAAGGAUGCUGCACCGGCUAAGAGGGGGAAAGGAAGGAAAUGA